GUAGGUGGCAAGCGUUGUCCGGAAUUAUUGGGGCGUAAAGCGCGCGCAGGCGGUCCUUUAAGGUCUGAUGUGAAAGCCCACGGGCUCAACCGUGGAGGGUCAUUGGAAACUGGGGGACUUGAGUGCAGAAGAGGAAAGCGGAAUUCCAAGUGUAGCGGUGAAAUGCGUAGAGAUUUGGAGGAACACCAGUGGCGAAGGCGGCUUUCUGGUCUGUAACUGACGCUGAGGCGCGAAAGCGUGGGGAGCAAACAGGAUUAGAUACCCUGGUAGUCCACGCCGUAAACGAUGAGUGCUAAGUGUUAGGGGGUUUCCGCCCCUUAGUGCUGCAGCUAACGCAUUAAGCACUCCGCCUGGGGAGUACGGCCGCAAAGGCUGA
rnacentral:rRNA from 1 species